GCGCUUAUUGCGCGGCGAAAAACCUUACACACAGUGUUUUUUGUUAUUACAAGAACCUUUCGCUUUGGUCUGGACUAGAAAUAGUUUGGGCCAGAGGUUUACUGAACUAAACUUCAAUAUUUAUAUUGAAUUGUUAUUUAUUUAAUUGUCAAUUUGUUGAUUAAAUUCAAAAAAUCUUCAAAACUUUCAACAACGGAUCUCUUGGUUCUCGCAUCGAUGAAGAACGCAGCGAAAUGCGAUAAGUAAUAUGAAUUGCAGAUUUUCGUGAAUCAUCGAAUCUUUGAACGCACAUUGCGCCCUCUGGUAUUCCAGAGGGCAUGCCUGUUUGAGCGUCAUUUCUCUCUCAAACCUUCGGGUUUGGUAUUGAGUGAUACUCUUAGUCGAACUAGGCGUUUGCUUGAAAUGUAUUGGCAUGAGUGGUACUGGAUAGUGCUAUAUGACUUUCAAUGUAUUAGGUUUAUCCAACUCGUUGAAUAGUUUAAUGGUAUAUUUCUCGGUAUUCUAGGCUCGGCCUUACAAUAUAACAAACAAGUUUGACCUCAAAUCAGGUAGGAUUACCCGCUGAACUUAAGCAUAUCAAA
rnacentral:rRNA from 1 species